AACAGCACAUAAUAACUUUCCACCCAGGAAUGGGAUUCGAACCCGGGUCUUUCACUCCACAGUCAGUGUGUUAUCCCCUAGUCUACUCUAAUCGAUACCCUGCGUUGAUCUAUUACAUACAUAUCGUACUAUGCACAACUCCCGUAAACGAUUGUAGCAUCGAUUGUGCUUUAUUUUUUCAUUAAAUAAUUAGGCGGUGACCAGCUGGCGUCGGACAAGGUUGGUUGGGUGUGCUUGAGUAACUCUAGGGGGUGAUUAUGUGGGAUGGGGUUAGACACUCAAAGAUUUCUAUUGAGGUAGGCUGCCUUAUGGAUUGAGUCGGUUUCUUUUUUUUUUGCUCAAAGCUUCUCCACCGAGCCGCGGACCAGUCAAGUGAUUAAUUCAGGCAACGAACCAGUUGCUGCUUCGGACGUCACUUGUCACGUGUUUUUUUUUGCUCUGAAGCAGUGCUUCUUGGGAGUUGGUUUGAAGCACGUAUCGAAGCUUCAGUGUCACACUGCCAUCACUAGCGCUAGCUCUCUGAAGCCAUUGUCAGACAUGCAGUGAAUACAAGUGCAGCUACCGUUUCAGUUUAGCAGACGACUGCCAAAACAAUUAAUGUUGCGGCGACCUACCGGGAAGUCUGCCUGCGAGUGGGUGCACUUCAUGGCCUUACUGCGCAUGCGCGCAUCAGCGAGCGAACAGGUGGAUGCAAUUAGUCUAAAGGAGCAGCACGUGCCAGAGACAAGAGAAGAGACGUGAGCUUGUUCAUUUGUUUGCAACGCGGCAGCAGAAGGAAGAGCUCUCGGACAAGCACAGAGUUAAAACCCAUGGGAAAGGGGAAAAAGAUCAGAGGCUACCGGUUUUUCACCUCAUCAUAUUCAUCAUGCUGGUCAAUACUGGUCAAAUAAAAUGAAGAUUGAGUGAAAUCCUGUGUCUGGUAAAGUCCUUCCCGUUUCAAGUGUGGGAAGCCAUGGUGUUAGAAAUGCACUUGCCAAUUAAUGCUGGGCACAUCCUUUGCUAAAUCCCUUGAAGAUGAAAGAAUUGGGCUUUGCAUCUCUAUGCGAAUAAUACUGUAAGAUAACACGUCCCAUGCUGUAUGGGUCUAAACGGCAACAAUGCUAAACCUCUCCUAUCCCCAGGCCUAGCAAGACGUGUGGCUAAACAGAUCAAAGCCUGCCUAUGCCUUGAUUAUUAGGUAGGGAGAAAAUGCAGUUUUGAAAUAUUUACUCUAUCUUAACACUUUUCUUUGUCUUCAUGUUGACAGCAGGCGUUGUCUGGCACCAACUGUUUGACACCUAGGGGAAGAUAUUGUUGAUAUGCAACUUGAAAUUAUUCGUUGGAAAGGAUUGUCAUUUUUGGGUGACUAUGACAUUGCAGGUCUUAGGCUUAUUGAUAUAUUUUUCUCUUUUUCUUUCCUUUUUCGCAUUGCGCUGUUUGCAUGACAUUAAAUCCAUUCAUUUUUAUUUUUUAAAAGCAUUGGAGAAGAGCACCAGAGCUCAUUCAUUGAACGGUCACGCUCUGUGUGGUUCUUGUUGUCUUCUCUGUGGUUCUGCAGGAGGCACCUGACCAAACCGUCCCUGAUCUUCAGCCACACGCUGGCGGAGAUCAAAGCCAUCUUCCCCGGGGGACUCUUCCAGGGAGACACCUUCCGCAUCGUUCUGCUCGGAAUAUGAUUCCCGGAGGAAAGGAAGGUAACGAGGGUGUGUGCGUGUGUGUGUGUGUGUGCGUGUAAGUGGUAAUGCUUAUUUUGCAAAGAGGGCAGUGACGCAUGCUGUGCACCGACACAUGCACACUAGGGCUGGGAUAAACGAUUAUUUUUUAAACGAUUAAUCUAUUCAAUUCGAUUAUCGUUAUCUCCCAAUUAAUUGACUAAUAGCAAUUUAUACAUUCAGAUUUAAAUAUCUGAAUGAAAAAACAUGAAUUCCUUAACAUUGCAAUGCAUGUUUAUUGCCUUAAAUUGCAAAAUAAAAGUGCAAAGUAAUGCAUUCUUAGAAGUCAGAGGUAGCAUUCAAUAAAAACUUGAAGCCUUAAACACAAAGGCCUUCCGUCCAUCUCCAUUUUGCAAAGACGACCUAUCACGGAAUCGUUUCCUUUAACAUUAAAGAAUGCCCAUACUUUAGAGGAGCGAGUGUGAGGCGCCUUGACAUGAAGGGUUUAAAUGAUUAAAGGUCUAAAUGAUUUGAUAUGAAAGGUUUAAAUGAUUAAAGGAGUAAAUGAUUUGAUAUGAAAGGUUUAAAUGAUUAAAGGUCUAAAUGAUUUGAUAUGAAAGGUUUAAAUGAUUAGAGGUCUACAGUGUUUCCCACAGACCAAGGACCAAUGUGUGGUGCGUGGGGGGGGGCGGCGGCAUCAGCGCACAAGUUUAGUUUUUACCUGAACUUUUGAUUCUGUGACAUUCAAGGAAUGAAUUGCAACAGACGACUAAAGCUGGAGGUCUUUAUUUCAAGUACAAAUAAACUCGAGACCUAUCUGAACCAAUAUUUAAGUUUUUUAGGAAAUAUAAAAUAAAUGGUAACAAUAUACUACUAGGUACAACAAGGCAACUAACUAAAAUAAUGAAUGCAAUGCAAAUAUUGUCAGGGAGGGCAGCCGACUGAGGUCUAAGGACAUGGAAGGCUCCUAGGAUGUCCAGCUCCUGGAACCUCCUUUUCAGUUCUGUCUCCAGGCCAGUAAUGUAGGGUUGGAUGACAUACAAUGAACAGAUCAGCACAUUUUCUCCACCAGGAACAGAAGGAUCAAAAUUACUUUCCCUACUCUUAUUUUUUUAAAGUUAAAAUAUACACUAAUCUGUUUCCACCUCACCUGUUGUUUCAGCAACAUUUUGUCUGCUGUCCUCCUGGCCUAUAUUAAUCAGUAUCUCUCCUGAACAGCCCGGCCCCUGAGAAGCACUGGGUUGUUCAGCACUGUUUGAUGCCUAGGAACAUUCGAAAUAAAUUGAUUAUAUAUUUAAUAAACAUUUACUAGCCACAGCCAUUUGACUGUUCAACUUAAUUUCAGACUAAGCUAACUACCUCCUCAAGCUGCUCCGUCUCGUCUGGACGAGGCCUUUUUUGGUACAGAAUUUUUUUUUCAAUACUCUGGUUUAAAGCAACAAACAUUCAGAGUCAGAAUAAAAUAAUAUUAAGAAUAGAAUGUAAUAAAUGUUUUAUUUUCUUUUUUUAUAUGGGCACCGUAUAUGCCUAUCUAAACUAUAACCGCAUUUCAUCUUAAUCGCAGUGUUCGCUGCGUUACCAACGACAUUGUCUAUGAUGACGGGGGCGGGAUGUUCAAUAACGUUGAGUUCAUAAAGCUAAUAUUACUUUUUCUGAGUUAGCAAAAAAUGUGAGCAGGUGUGUUAGACCACAGUAUAUCAUACUAUCCUUUGGUAAACUGCAAAUGUCGCAGAUCGUCUUCUCUGUGCCAAAUAUAUUUUUCCAUUGACCUCAAGCAUUGCGCGUGGACAGGAGGAGCGGGCGAAUCAGCCAUCAUUGAGUGUGCAUGAAAAGGCCGAUUUAGGGUCGUUUUAGACGCAGAGACGUAAGCACGUAAUUUACACAAGGGACUUGUUUUAGACAAGUUUUGAUUUACGGUUCCUUAAGGAUUGCGUGUGUUGCAAGGGGAUUCCUCCACCAGAACAGUAGGGGGAGCAACGAACGAAUCUGUGGGCGUGGAAGUGGAAAUCGCUGGCUUGUUUAUAUUUAUGCACUUCCAGUAUUUUCGGACGAUAGUAGCAGUACUUAAGUUUAGGUUAGCAGUCUUUUUCCACACUCUGACGAUGUUAAGGUUGAGUCGAAGACAGUUGAGGGAGCUGGAGCUGAUAAGACUCCUGAAAGGAUGUGGUUAGCUGGCCAAUCACAGUCUUUGCGAGCUGCGUAGGGCCGUAGUGUUUUAGUGGCAUAGUCAGGAAUUUUGGGCGACGCACUUAAGCAUGUAAGGGGGGAUAUUUUACCGCACAAGGGGGGUUAUGUAUCUUACGUGCUAACGCGUUACGUCUAAAACAGAGCAUAUAUCGGCCUUUACUCCGAGUUUACAUGCGGACACAUCUGAUCCGCAUAGAUGUGGAAGAACAGCUCAAUCGGAAUAGAAAAGUAUCAUAUAUAUAUACGCCUCAAUCGGUUCGGAAUAGAAUUCCAUGCGGAAUAGAAGGGGUGGUGUAGUCCGCUAUAAACACUUAUUCCGAUUAGUUUGGGGUUUAACUUGGAGCUGCUGCAGUAGUUCGCAAUUGGUCCACUCCGUCUGUACUUUAAUGCACACCGAACCUUACCGCUGUCAAGGAAAGUGGAAUUAUUGCCUGAUUCACGUCUUUGUUAUUAUCACUCCGUAGUAGUUACAGUAGUCCGGUAACUUAACCCGUGUGUGUGUGUGUGUGUGUGUGUGUGUGUGUGUGUGUGUGUGUGUGUGUGUGUGUGUGUGUGUGUGUGUGUGUGUGUGUGUGUGUGUGUGUGUGUGUGUGUGUGUGUGUGUGUGUGUGUGUGUGUGUCAGGGAGAACGAGUGCAAUGCGGAGAUGAAAGGACGGAACGAUUUUUAGAUUUCAGUCGAGUUAUAAAAAAAAAAGACAGAAUGAAUUUGUGGCGCUCGAUGUUGAUUCUGUGGCGCUGUCAUGCCAAAUUUGUACCGGCUGCCAAAUUUGUACCGGGCGCGUCAUCCAUACGUAAUCCAUUCCAAACCUGCCUGGCAACAGAUGAUCGCGUUGUCCGUUGCCAGGCAACGGACGAUCGCGUCGAAUGACGUGAAAGGUUCACGGACAUUCGCAAACCUUCUAUCUAGCGAUCCGUUAUCUGUAUUGUGCCAUUUCGUCCUUGACCUGCUUUAAGCACUCAGUUUACUAGCUGAAUUUGAUUAAACAAUUGAAUAUAAUACAAAUAUAUAAAGUAAAAACAAGUGUUAUCUAGCGAUCCGUUAACUGUAUUAUGUUAUUUCGUCUUUGGCAACCAGAGCGCAAAUGUUUUUUGAAACCUGCCCGGCAACGGACGACGCGAUCAUCUGCUGCCAGGCAGGUUUGGAAUGGAUUAGGUAUGGAUGACGCGCCGCGGCACACAAUGGUCUAUGUAUGGGAAACACUGGUCUAAAUGAUUUGACAUGAAAGGCUGAAAUGAUUAAAGGUCAAAAUUAUUUGACAUGAAAGGUUUAAAUGAUUACAUUUACAUUUUUCAUUUAGGGCAUUUAGCAGACGCUUUUAUCCAAAGCGACUUACAAUAAGUACAUUUGUCAUAAGAAGUGCAUCAAUAUAUCGCUGUCGGUACAGAAAGGAUGUUCAUAGAACCAAGUGCAAGUACCACAAUCGCUAGGUCAAUUCCCCGUGUUACAGCCAUGAUAGCAGCUACUGCAGUUGCUACACAGUUAAGUACUACAAUACAAUACAAUACAAUACAGUAAACAAUGGUGGCCAGAAGGGGGAGAGUAGCUAUGCAGAGGUGGACUAAAGGUCUAAAUGAUUUGAUAUGAAAGGGUUAAAUGAUUAAGGGUCUAAAUGAUUUGAUAUGAAAGGUUCAAAUGAUUAAAGGUCUAAAUGAUUUGAUAUGAAAGGUUAAAUGAUUAAAGGUCUAAAUGAUUUGAUAUGAAAGGUUGAAAUGAUUAAAGGUCUAAAUGAUUUGAUAUGAAAGGUUAAAUGAUUAAAGGUCUAAAUGAUUUGAUAUGAAAGGUUCAAAUGAUUAAGGGUCUAAAUGAUUUGAUAUGAAAGGUUAAAUGAUUAAAGGUCUAAAUGAUUUGAUAUGAAAGGUUGAAAUGAUUAAAGGUCUAAAUGAUUUGAUAUGAAAGGUUAAAUGAUUAAAGGUCUAAAUGAUUUGAUAUGAAAGGUUCAAAUGAUUAAAGGUCUAAAUGAUUUGAUAUGAAAGGUUGAAAUGAUUAAAGGUCUAAAUGAUUUGAUAUGAAAGGUUAAAUGAUUAAAGGUCUAAAUGAUUUGAUAUGAAAGGUUGAAAUGAUUAAAGGUCUAAAUGAUUUGAUAUGAAAGGUUCAAAUGAUUAAAGGUCUAAAUGAUUUGACAUGAAGGUUGAAAUGAUUAAAGGUCUAAAUGAUUUGACAUGAAAGGUUGAAAUAAUUAAAGAUCUAAAUGAUUUGAUAUGAAAGGGUUAAAUUAUUAAAGGUCUAAAUGAUUUGAUAUGAAAGGGUUAAAUGAUUAAAGGUCUAAAUGAUUUGACAUGAAAGGUUGAAAUGAUUAAAGGUCUAAAUGAUUUGACAUGAAAGGUUGAAAUUAUUAAAGGUCUAAAUGAUUUGGCAUGAAAUUAUUACAUUUACAUUUAGGGCAUUUAGCAGACGCUUUUAUCGGUAUCCGAUACCGAUAUCCGAUAUUAAAAUUGCUGUUACGGGCGAUAACCGAUAUUUACCGAUAUCGAUAUUGGUAUAAAAACAAGUCUCUAUGAUGAUUUUGCAUACUGAAGAACAUGAAUAUGAAAAAGUUAUCUUUCUUUAUUUACCAAAACUUCGAAAUACAUUGUUUCUUCAACAAGUUACAGGGCAUCCAAAACAAACACAAGUUACUAAGUGUUAGUUUUAGGCUACUUAUACAACUUUACAACUUGUCAAUAUCUUGACAAGGUUUUAUAACUUAAAUCAAAUUUGUCAGUAUUCAUGGAAACCAGAUACUUGUCUAAUAAAUUAGAAAAAGUGUUUCAAGUUUAAGUAAAUUUCAACUCAAAUCUGUGAAAUAGGCUAAGAUAUAUCAAGGGAGGUUGGUUGUAGUCUUUUCACUCGGUUCUAUCCCUACUGUUGAUCCGGAGAACCGAGCGAAAAGACUACAACCAAAUAUAAACAUAUCAGGUUCCGGUUUCCGGUUCAAUGGGAUUACGGAACGCCAAAUAAAACGCAACAGAAGCUGUAUUUCGCUACGAUGAUGUAUAUAAUGAUUUGACACGGCAUCCUCCGCGCAUUACUUCGGCUUUGCAAGUACUGCAUAUUGCAAUUCGAGUACCCUAAUUUGAGACUGUAAAAAACAUCCAAACCGCCGACAUUGAAUCUUUUCAGUUAAGGUGACAAACACUCCUGUACUGCCUCUCCGUGCGUCUCUGGCUGCGUCACUGACAAUGUCACCUGACCAAACAAGCUGUGCAUGGGCAAAAACACACAAUGGCAACUAGACUAGGAAAUAAAUAUCGGCUGUUAAUAUCGGACCAGUUUUACUUAUCGGGCCGAUGCCGAAAUGUUAAAUAAUGACUAACAUCGGCCGAUAACUAUAUCACUGCCGAUAUAUCAUGCAUCCCUAACAAUAAGUACAUUUGUCAUAAGAAGUGCAUCAAUAUAUCGCUGUUGGUACAGAAAGGAUGUUCAUAGAACCAAGUGCAAGUACCACAAUCGCUAGGUCAAUCAAUUCCCCGUGUUACAGCUAGUGGUGCCGAGAUGAUGCCUCA